rnacentral:rRNA from 1 species
UACAGAGGGUGCGAGCGUUUGUUCGGAAUUAUUGGGCGUAAAGGGCGCGUAGGCGGUGCGGUAAGUCACCUGUGAAAUCUCCUGGCUCAACUGGGAGCUUGCAGGCGAAACUGCCGUGCUGGAGUGUGGGAGAGGUGCGUGGAAUUCCCGGUGUAGCGGUGAAAUGCGUAGAUAUCGGGGAGGAACACCUGUGGCGAAAGCGGCGCACUGGACCACAACUGACGCUGAGGCGCGAAAGCUAGGGGGAGCAAACAGG